rnacentral:rRNA from 1 species
GACGAACGCUGGCGGCGUGCCUAAUACAUGCAAGUAGAACACUGAAGAGAGGAGCUUGCUCUUCUUGGAUGAGUUGCGAACGGGUGAGUAACGCGUAGGUAACCUGCCUUGUAGCGGGGGAUAACUAUUGGAAACGAUAGCUAAUACCGCAUAACAAUGGAUGACACAUGUCAUUUAUUUGAAAGGGGCAAUUGCUCCACUACAAGAUGGACCUGCGUUGUAUUAGCUAGUAGGUGAGGUAAUGGCUCACCUAGGCGACGAUACAUAGCCGACCUGAGAGGGUGAUCGGCCACACUGGGACUGAGACACGGCCCAGACUCCUACGGGAGGCAGCAGUAGGGAAUCUUCGGCAAUAGGGGCAACCCUGACCGAGCAACGCCGCGUGAGCGAAGAAGGUUUUCGGAUCGUAAAGCUCUGUUGUAAGUCAAGAACGGGUGUGAGAGUGGAAAGUUCACACUGUGACGGUAGCUUACCAGAAAGGGACGGCUAACUACGUG